GGCCUCGUGGCGCAAUGGUAGCGCGUAGCUUUCCGGUUCACUCUAGUACUAGCUGAGGUUUCAGGUUCGAGUCCUGACGGGGUCG
rnacentral:tRNA from 1 species